UUUAGAACAAGGAUUAGACUGGUUUGGUUGCAUUCAGUCAAUGUCAUCGAAACUGUAAUGAUGAAACCGAGGAGGGCUAAUCUGCGUCUUCAUUAAUACAAUACGGCUCACAGUCAUGGUAGGGGGAAAAUUGGAGACAACAAAGAAACCAAACAAAGAAAAGUGAAAUCAGCAGAGCAAACUGAAAUCAAAGUGAUUCAGUUCACACCUCAUAUCUCACAGGGGAUUAAGAGGAAUUCUGAGAAAGACCCGUUUGUUGUUGGCGUAGCAACAAUGGUUUCCUUGACUAUACCAGUUGCUUUCAAGAGUCUGAGCUAGGUAUCAUGGGGUUGUAAUUAAAUGCCUGACUAGUCUUUUUUUUCCCUAAGUCUUUUUUUUUUUUUUUUUGCCAGUUCUGUGAUCAAGUUCAUAAUUUGGAGUUCUUUUACCGGAGCCCUUCAUAUGAUAAUCCAGAUGAAAACAGAUGUGGUGGAACAUCUGUGUGUAAAGCUCUUCAGACUAUUACUAAAUUAAAGCUUGUUGGGGUUAUUUAAAGGUAUUUCCCCUCAUCAAGACCAGGCAGGGCCUCUUGAAGUGAUUCUUUAAUCAACACAUUACCAUAUGAAAUGGUACGGAGUGGUGGUUUCAGUAAUACCACAAACAUCCAAGUCCACACAUCACUGAGGGGUAGAAUAUCAUUAGUGCUGUCUCUUGCUGAGGUCUGCAGAUUAUUCACAGUUCUUUCUGUUUUAUUGAUGGGCAGUUAGUUGGGAAUAACACACCACCUUACAAUCUUUAAUUGCAAUAGCUCCGCCUGUUAUUUUCUAUCCCUGUUCGUCCUGUUCGUCCUGUUCGUCCUGUUCGUCCUGUUCGUCCUGUCCAGUCUUUGUUUCCCCCACACAUCACUGAGGUGUAGCACUGCCCUCCCUGGCUUAUAAUAGGGAAUUCUAAUAAAGAAUGUCUGCUUAGCUUUCAGGGAGGGCUGGUGAUGGUCACACACAUGCACUAAAUAUUAAAAUAUUUGGCUGCAAGACUAAAAUAUGCAUCAAUCUCAUACAAUGUUGAC
ensembl:lncRNA